UAACAUUUUACAUAGUACUAACAUAACCUAACCGAGUUUUUCAGAAGAAGCUGUAAAGAUGACAUUUUCUACAGCAGUCGUAUGAUCGCUACUUUGCAAGAUUUUGCUACAAAAUAAUUUUUGAAGACCAUUAAAAUAUUGCCUACAUUUUGAAAAUAUAUACAUUUUUACAACAGACUUAACACUUUUAAGUUUUAUAUUCUUUAUAAUUUAGUUUUAUAUCCAAAAUAUGAUAACAAUAAUAAAAUUCUUUAUUAAAGAAAAGUUCAUAAUCAAAGCCCGGACGACGGGAGCAAAAAUGUAUUAUGAACAAAGCCCGGACGACGUUAAAUAUCGACUAUUCUAUCGACAUCCAUACGAACAAUUUUUGAAUCAGAAAUUCAUUGAUUCAAAAAUUGUUCGUAUGGAUGUCGAUAGAAGAGUUGAUAUUUAACGUCGUCCGGGCUUUUUUCAUAAUACAAAAAAAGACAAGACUUAAAUGAGUAGAUAAUAUAAUUAACCUCGUAAGACUCACCAUAUAAAGUUUUCGAAUUUUUAAUGUGAACCUUAUUCUAUAACAAAAUUAAAACGAAUUUUGUUUGAUUUAAAAAGCAAUGAAACAAAAGAAAGGCAAAUUUCUUUGGUUCAUGAAAGGUUCAAAUUAGAUUGCACGAAUGUUUACAUUGUAAUGUAUAUUUGUGACGUUCCACGGCAAAAUGUACCUUAUGGCGGCUGGCGCUUACGUCUCAUAGCGCCGCAAUAAUAUUGGAGCGGCGUUAAUAAUAGCGUAAGCGCCAACCGCCAUAAGGUACCUUUACCUGUGGGACGUCACAUUUAGUCUCAGGAGGAUAAGAUACCCAUAAAAAAUACCGACGAUAAAAAGUAAUAAAGAUAGAAUUUUUGGAAUAGUGCAUCAUCGUAGUGUAUUUUUUGGUAAUAUAUAAAAAUAUAUUAUGUCGUAGUCCCAUUCCCUAUCGCAACUAUGUUAGUUUCUUAGAUAUUGUUUGGAGUUUAACGCACAUUAGUUGGCCGGCGGCCCGUAGUCAGAUCAUAGUAUUUAUUAACGCUUAAACAUGUUUUAUAACGUUUAAAUGAUAUUCCAUAGUGUAGUGUUCAUUAUAUUAGGUCACUACGUAGGUGAUUUGCCCUGUAGUGGUUUUGAAUGUUUUCGAAGAUGGUUAUAGAAAGAAACGAUUGAUUGACAUUGUUGUUAGAUUUUACUAUAUCCUCUAGCCGCCCAUACGUCAAACCUUGCCAAGCAAAAUGAAAUUUUAUUUUCUCAACACAAAGUUCAAAUUAGAAUGGAACAGGAGACCUUUUUAUAGGUCUCUGGGCGGCUAGAGGCUAUGAGAUAAAAGCUUACAUUUCUUUAAACCCUUUAGCUCUUUAAAAUAUAAUUAUUCUUCAUAUAACUGUACAUCAAAGUACUUUCUAAGAAUAGUUUACAAAGUGUACUAUUAUUUAUAUUAAAAAUAUAGUUAUUGAAAGUUCUUUGAGCAGUGUCAGUCAAAACGUCUCGCGUACUUACAAAAUUUGAUAGAUAUUAUAUUAUAUUUCUUGUUCUAAUAAUGUUGUGUUCGGCGAAAUUUUUAUCUAUGUAAACUAUUUAUUGGAUAUUUUGUUACAUAUGUACCUAAUAAUUUAUAACACCAAUAUUUAUCUCUUCAAAUUUGUAACGUUUAAUAUAUUUUAUGCAAAAAUUGUAAACAGUGUGUAGAUUUUGUUGAAUAAAUGUCAUGUUUUGAA